GGGUUGUGAGGUUAAGCGACUAAGCGUACACGGUGGAUGCCCUGGCAGUCAGAGGCGAUGAAGGGCGUGCUAAUCUGCGAUAAGCGCCGGUAAGGUGAUAUGAACCGUUAUAACCGGCGAUACCCGAAUGGGGAAACCCAGUGUGAUUCGUCACACUAUCAUUAACUGAAUCCAUAGGUUAAUGAGGCGAACCGGGGGAACUGAAACAUCUAAGUACCCCGAGGAAAAGAAAUCAACCGAGAUUCCCCCAGUAGCGGCGAGCGAACGGGGAGGAGCCCAGAGCCUGAAUCAGCAUGUGUGUUAGUGGAAGCGUCUGGAAAGGCGCGCGAUACAGGGUGACAGCCCCGUACACAAAAGCGCAUGUGUUGUGAGCUCGAUGAGUAGGGCGGGACACGUGGUAUCCUGUCUGAAUAUGGGGGGACCAUCCUCCAAGGCUAAAUACUCCUGACUGACCGAUAGUGAACCAGUACCGUGAGGGAAAGGCGAAAAGAACCCCGGCGAGGGGAGUGAAAAAGAACCUGAAACCGUGUACGUACAAGCAGUGGGAGCACAGGUUUACCUGUGUGACUGCGUACCUUUUGUAUAAUGGGUCAGCGACUUAUAUUCUGUAGCAAGGUUAACCGUAUAGGGGAGCCGGAGGGAAACCGAGUCUUAAUUGGGCGUUAAGUUGCAGGGUAUAGACCCGAAACCCGGUGAUCUAGCCAUGGGCAGGUUGAAGGUUGGGUAACACUAACUGGAGGACCGAACCGACUAAUGUUGAAAAAUUAGCGGAUGACCUGUGGCU
rnacentral:rRNA from 1 species